GAAAAUUAGCCGUUUAAUAAACAAUCUAGGACCAGGACUGAGCUUCUUACCCCCACCAUCUCUAACUCCAAUCUUGCAUUCAAAUUAUUCCUUCUCCCCACAUACAUUCAUGGUAAACCUUGACAACUCAUAAACAGGUACGAAAACUCAAAAACUAAAAGUACGCAUUGCGAGACCUCAGAACUCACUUGUGACCGGAGCAUGCUCCGUCCACAAGAAUGCAAAGGAAUGCACCAGGCCGGCUAGCCCUAGAACUCACCUGCAACCGGAGCAUACUCUGUCCACAAGAAUGCAAAGGUAUACACCAGACCGGCGAGCCCACCGCCGAUGAGCGGGCCGACGAUGUAGACCCAAAUAUCCGUAUAAUCACCGCUGGCCACAGCAGGUCCGAAAGACCUGGCCGGGUUCAUUGAACCACCGGAGAAAGCACCGGCAGCUAGAAUGUUAGCGCCGACGAUAAAGCCGAUGGCCAAAGGAGCGAUGGUUCCCAGCGAGCCCUUCUUCGGAUCUGCGGCGGUGGCGUAGACGGUGUAGACGAGGGCAAAAGUGAUGACUAUCUCCAUCACCAGACCUUGAAUGGAUCCGACUCCGGCUGAUAGUGCAUGAGGGGGAGUGCUCAUUCCAGUAGCAGCCUUGAGCAGAAACGAGCCAGCAAUGGCGCCAACAAGCUGAGCAAUCCAGUAGAAUACCCCAGUCAGUACAGUAAUAUGUCCUCCGAGAGCCAACCCGAACGUCACAGCUGGGUUAACAUGUCCGCCGGAGAUGUUAGCUCCGACGGACACCGCUACAAACAAGGCAAACCCGUGACAGAGAGCCACCGCUACGAGCCCCGCCGGGUCGAGGGCUGCAUUGUCUGUCAGUUUAUUGUAGGCGAUGACGGAGCCGACACCGGCGAAGACGAAGAGGAGGGUGGAGAUGAACUCAGCCAGGUAGGCUUUGAUAGUUCCGACGCUGAAGGAGUCGGUGAAGCUGCCAAAGGAGAAACCGGCCAUUGAUUUGGUGUGGGAUAAGAAGGUUGUCAGAUACAGAUUCGGAGGAGGAU
rnacentral:misc_RNA from 1 species